CAUUUAAAAAAAAAAAACAAAAAAAGUAAAAACAAUACUUUUUUUUGGCAGCCGGUAGCCAGACUAAUCCUUCGUUCCACUUUCAGCACACUAAGUAAUGAACUAGUCAUAGAAUUUUCUCCUUCGCGGUGGAAUCGAACCCCAACCUCUGUGCCGAACCACCGCAUCAACCGAUUAAAAACAAACUCUAACACACAGUGUAGUUGCGCCCAACUCAAACUUCAUUAUUGCAGCAUCUCAUAUUUUCUUCAUCUUGAUAGCCAAUUAUUACAACACUUUGGUAGAUAAACCCCCCGAAAAAUGCAGAGAAAAUUUGGUGGAGGGAAGCCGCCAACAGGAACACCAUCAAUGGCUUGGUCAAGUUUAGUUGUUGUUGUUUCUCUACUAUCUGGUGCCUCCAUUGUCCACAAUUUCUACAAACCUGAUCUGACUCUGCCUCCUAUAGAAAGCAUAGAUGGUAUCAAGCAGAAAGAUGCAGAGAAGGAAUAAUCUUUUAGUUUCGGUUCAUUUAAUUUUGAUGGAAAUUAUGAAAUGGAGUAGCAGUUAAAAAUAGAGAACCCCCACCCCCACCCCCACCCCACCCAUCCCCCAACAAUCCCCACCCUCCUCAUAGUGCAGUCUUUCCUUUGUACUAUUUGACAGUUUUUUUGUAGUAGCACAAAAACCAAAUUAAUGUUCAGAAUUUCAAAUCAAACCAGUGAACACAUGAUACUGUAUUCCCCUUUAAUUUGUACAACGGCAAGUCGAUAGGGAAAAAAGAACUUUUAAAGUGUGAGCUUGCAAUGAUUCCUAGUAGAGUCUAUCUGACUUUAGACAUGUGGACUUCUGUGGCA